UACGUAGGGUGCGAGCGUUGUCCGGAAUUAUUGGGCGUAAAGAGCUUGUAGGCGGUUUGUCGCGUCUGCCGUGAAAAUCCGAGGCUCAACCUCGGACUUGCGGUGGGUACGGGCAGACUAGAGUGUGGUAGGGGAGACUGGAAUUCCUGGUGUAGCGGUGAAAUGCGCAGAUAUCAGGAGGAACACCGAUGGCGAAGGCGGGUCUCUGGGCCACUACUGACGCUGAGAAGCGAAAGCAUGGGGAGCGAACAGG
rnacentral:rRNA from 1 species